CGGUUAAGGAAACAAACCCAAACCCCUCAAAAACCUUUCUCUCACCCGUAAAAUCCAAAACCCCAUUUCUCUCUCUCUCCCCUCCUCGUAAAAACCCCAACCCCGGUGAAACCCCGACCCCUCUCUGUCAUCUGUUCGCCUGCCUUCUCGUCAGCCUCCCAUGCUCGUCGGAACCCCAUCGUUCCCUCACCGCUGAUGCGCGGUGUUGCCUUGCCGCAGUUAUUGUCAGAAUUGUUGUUGCUGAUGUCGUGGUUCUCUUCUCUCUCCUCUAUUAUGUUGAUGUGUUGUGUUGUGCUGCCACCUUGCUCGCCAGUGACUCAGCACCUCUUCUCUCUCUCUCUCUAUCGCGCGCUAUGGUUGAGGCGGCGCUGCUUGUUAUCGCGCUGCGUUCUCCCCCCCCCCCGCCGGUUCUUGCUUGUUGUUGAUGUCGCGGUAGUUGCUAUUGUUGUGUUGUUGAUGCUGCUCGUGUCUUCCCCCACCCGUUGUGAUGUUGCUGCUUUGUAGUGCUGCUAGCUGUGAUGGUGGCGUGUGUUGGUUGUUUGAUAAAGGUGUUAAGAAUCACGAGUAUUAUUGGAUGAGCUCCAAGAAUGAUGAUUAUGUUAUGAAUGAUAAUGGAAAGUGAUCUAAAGGGGAAAGUAGUCUUAUCUGAGUCGACGGAUGAGGUGACAUGAACAGUAACCCCCAUGGACUUUGAACCUUAGGGGGGGGUCCCUACAGGGAAACAUGCCCAUUGCUCUGUGGGGGGAUAAUCGGACAAUAUAUCAGGUAAUGUGAAACAUGUGGAUGGCUAAUGGAAUCAGCGGAAAUAAAUGUACUCCGGACUAGUCGCGGUUAUUGGCCAAAAGUAAAGCGAGUGGUUGGGUGACGACCCCCACUGUCGGAGUGUAAGCUUUGUCUCAUCCGCCGCGUUCUCUUUCCCCCUGGUUAAGAAGAAUGUUAUCUCAAAUUAUGAAAGUUAGAUCGAUAUUGGAUUCCCGAUAAGGAAUCAUAUCGUGGUAAGUGGUUUCGAUAUUGGAUUCCCAAUAAGGAAUCAUAUCAGGUAAAUAAUAAAUGUUUAUUCAAUAUUUCAAUAUGAAUAUCAAUAUUGGUUUCCUGAUAAGGAGGCAUAUCAUAGUAUGUUACAUUGAUGUUUGAUUCCUCAUAAGGAAUCGUAUCUUCUUAUUAGAUUCCUAAUAAGGAAUCGUAUUUUGUCAUUGGAUUCCUGAUAAGGAAUCGUGUCAUGGAGUGUUGUCCUGUUACUUAAUUCCUGAUAAGGAAUUGGUAGUAAAGUUAUAAGAAAAUGAUCAAUAUAGUAUUUGAAAAUAUAAGUUGGAUUUCUGAUAAGAAAUCGAUUUAAGGAAAUAAGUGAUAUAACCUAUAUCGGUGAUGGUUAACUUAGAUUCCUCAUAAGGAAUUGUAAUAUGCUGAAAGCUAAUUAAGUGCAGAUAUAUGAAACAUGCUUCUGCUUUUAUUGUUGUUA